rnacentral:rRNA from 1 species
UACGUAGGGGGCAAGCGUUGUCCGGAUUUAUUGGGCGUAAAGAGCGUGUAGGCGGCCGCACAGGUCCGUUGUGAAAACUGGAGGCUUAACCUCCAGACGUCGAUGGAAACCGUGCGGCUAGAGUCCGGAAGAGGAGAAUGGAAUUCCCGGUGUAGCGGUGAAAUGCGCAGAUAUCGGGAAGAACACCCGUGGCGAAGGCGGUUCUCUGGGACGGUACUGACGCUGAGACGCGAAAGCGUGGGGAGCGAACAGG